GUGAGGUCCAUUGUAAGCAAUCACCAAGUUGUUGGAUUUAUGGAUAGGGAGUAUGUAGACACAUACUCGGAGAAGGCAGUGGCACCCCACUCCAGUACUCUGGCCUGGAAAAUCCCAUGGAUGGAGGAGCCUGGUAGGCUGCAGUCCAUGGGGUCGCUAAGAGUCGGACACGACUGAGCGACUUCCCUUUGACUUUUCACUUUCAUGCAUUGGAGAAGGAAAUGGCAACCCACUCCAGUGUUCUUGCCUGGAGAAUCCCAGGGACGGGGGAGCCUGGUGGGCUGCCGUCUAUGGGGUCGCACAGAGUCGGACACGACUGAAGCGACUUAGCAGCAGCAGCAGACACAUAUUUAUAAUUGAUAAAGGUUUGUAGUCUCACACUGGUAUUCACUGUAUUAUUUAAAAAUAAAAAUUAAGUGAGUCAAUAAAGAGUGCCAUUCUUGGGCAAUGAUGAGAUUAUUAAAUGACCAAAGUUUAUAUUAAUAAUCAACACUGAAAAACUAACUUCCAUUAAAGAAAACUGUUUGAAAGUCUACAUUUUCACCAGGUGAGCAUACUACAGAUGAUUUAACCAUUAUCUAGUGCUGAAGAUCUUGGCUUUUACACACUUGGUGGGUAAGGACAGAACAGUGAUGUAAGUGACAGAGUUUAUGUUCUUGGGUUGAGAGGUUAGUUUAUGGGCGUCACUUAAAAUUUUCAAAGUAAUAAAUGGAUAUAUUAAUAAAUAAAACCAAGUAACACCAACGUGGGCCAGAAUUGGGGAUUAUGAUUGAUUAAUUUUUUAGGUCUCUUAAAAUUCAAUAAAAAAGAUGCAGGUGUUUUCUUCAUUUCCAGGGCUGCUUUACCUUGCGUUUUAGUUUGGCAGUGCAUUUCAAGUACUGCUCAAUUGGUAAAGAUUUAGGCUGUUCAUUUUUUGACAGAGGAGCACACUGGAAGAUGGACAAAAUUGUCUAGUUGUGGAGUGAGAUUAUGCAUCCCUAAGUCGUUCAUUGCGUUGUCUUUAAAUGAAAAAGGCCAAGCUAAUGGACUAACGGGACUCAU
rnacentral:lncRNA from 1 species